UAACGGAGUUGGCUGUUGCUUAUUGAGACGACAUACUUCCUUAUAUCCCCAUAUUCAGAAUUAAUCUAUGGAAUGUAAGGAAGUGUGUGGCUUCAGUGAGAUCUCAUCAUCAUCAUCAUC
rnacentral:pre_miRNA from 8 species